ACACAGGGAUUGCCCUAGUAACGGCGAGUGAAGCGGCAACAGCUCAAAUUUGAAAUCUGGCUCUCGGGCCCGAGUUGUAAUUUGUAGAGGAUACUUUUGAUGCGGUGCCUUCCGAGUUCCCUGGAACGGGACGCCAUAGAGGGUGAGAGCCCCGUCUGGUUGGAUGCCAAAUCUCUGUAAAGUUCCUUCGACGAGUCGAGUAGUUUGGGAAUGCUGCUCUAAAUGGGAGGUAUAUGUCUUCUAAAGCUAAAUACCGGCCAGAGACCGAUAGCGCACAAGUAGAGUGAUCGAAAGAUGAAAAGCACUUUGAAAAGAGAGUUAAAAAGUACGUGAAAUUGUUGAAAGGGAAGCGUUUAUGACCAGACUUGGGCUUGGUUAAUCAUCUGGGGUUCUCCCCAGUGCACUUUUCCAGUCCAGGCCAGCAUCAGUUUUCCCCGGGGGAUAAAGACUUCGGGAAUGUGGCUCUCUUCGGGGAGUGUUAUAGCCCGUUGUGUAAUACCCUGGGGGGGACUGAGGUUCGCGCAUCUGCAAGGAUGCUGGCGUAAUGGUCAUCAACGACCCGUCUUGAAACACGGACCAAGGAGUCGUCUUCGUAUGCGAGUGUUCGGGUGUCAAACCCCUACGCGUAAUGAAAGUGAACGCAGGUGAGAGCUUCGGCGCAUCAUCGACCGAUCCUGAUGUUCUCGGAUGGAUUUGAGUAAGAGCAUACGGGGCCGGACCCGAAAGAAGGUGAACUAUGCCUGUAUAGGGUGAAGCCAGAGGAAACUCUGGUGGAGGCUCGCAGCGGUUCUGACGUGCAAAUCGAUCGUCAAAUAUGGGCAUGGGGGCGAAAGACUAAUCGAACCUUCUAGUAGCUGGUUUCCGCCGAAGUUUCCCUUUCAGGGA
rnacentral:rRNA from 1 species